GAUGAACGCUGGCUCCAGGCUUAACACAUGCAAGUCGAGGGGAAACGACGGGGAAGCUUGCUUCCCCGGGCGUCGACCGGCGCACGGGUGAGUAACGCGUAUCCAACCUGCCUCUGACUGAGGGAUAACCCGUCGAAAGUCGGCCUAAUACCUCAUGGCAUCGUCUGCGGGCAUCCAACGACGAUUAAAGAUUUCAUCGGUCAGGGAUGGGGAUGCGUCUGAUUAGCUAGUUGGCGGGGUAACGGCCCACCAAGGCGACGAUCAGUAGGGGUUCUGAGAGGAAGGUCCCCCACAUUGGAACUGAGACACGGUCCAAACUCCUACGGGAGGCAGCAGUGAGGAAUAUUGAUCAAUGGGCGAGAGCCUGAACCAGCCAAGUAGCGUGCAGGAUGACGGCCCUAUGGGUUGUAAACUGCUUUUAUGCGGGGAUAAAGUGAGGGACGUGUCCUUCAUUGCAGGUACCGCAUGAAUAAGGACCGGCUAAUUCCGUG
rnacentral:rRNA from 1 species